rnacentral:rRNA from 1 species
AUCUAUGAUCAUGCUACCCUGACCAUGACUGACCUUGUCUGAUCUUGGAAGCCAAGGAGGGCAGGUCUGGCUAGUACCUAGACAGGGAAAGUGAAUGAAAUAAACAAAGAAGGUAUGUGUU